AGAGUUUGAUCAUGGCUCAGAACGAACGCUGGCGGCAGGCUUAACACAUGCAAGUCGAGCGCCCCGCAAGGGGAGCGGCAGACGGGUGAGUAACGCGUGGGAAUCUACCGAGCCCUGCGGAAUAGCUCCGGGAAACUGGAAUUAAUACCGCAUACGCCCUACGGGGGAAAGAUUUAUCGGGGUUUGAUGAGCCCGCGUUGGAUUAGCUAGUUGGUGGGGUAAAGGCCUACCAAGGCGACGAUCCAUAGCUGGUCUGAGAGGAUGAUCAGCCACAUUGGGACUGAGACACGGCCCAAACUCCUACGGGAGGCAGCAGUGGGGAAUAUUGGACAAUGGGCGCAAGCCUGAUCCAGCCAUGCCGCGUGAGUGAUGAAGGCCCUAGGGUUGUAAAGCUCUUUCAACGGUGAAGAUAAUGACGGUAACCGUAGAAGAAGCCCCGGCUAACUUCGUGCCAGCAGCCGCGGUAAUUC
rnacentral:rRNA from 1 species